rnacentral:lncRNA from 1 species
ACCAUCUAAGUUCUGUUCACAGUACUCGUAUAUCAUUCUCUAUUUGUUGGUAAGUCUGGCUCAGUUAGUCUACUUACUAAUUCUUACUUUAAUUGAUAAGAAAAUAAGUUUAACCAGAUGGCCUAUCUCAAUCAUUUGCCUUUUUAAAGGAAAAGUUAUACCUCAGCAUGUAAACUAUCUGAGAAGCUAAUUCCUUUUGCAAUUCUUCUUUUUAAGCAUUCUAAUUAAGUUUCCAAAGUACUGCAAUAUAAAAUAAUCAGUGAAAGCCAAAAUAGUCAUUAAGAUUUUUAAUUCCUCUCUUAACUUCUGUUCUUAAACUUUUCCCCUAUGGACUCUCACUUUCUACUCUCAAUUUUUCUUUAUCCUCUCCUUGGCAGUUUAAACUCCGACAGCCAUUUACUUAACUUUUAUUUCUGUAUCAGCCAUAUGAAAAACUGCUAAUAAACACAAACCACUGCAAAAUACUGAGUUGGAGAAAAUCAUGAAUUCCACUGGAAGCCUGACUAGACUACUAGACUUGUGAUUUAAUUUCAACUAGGUCUUUCCUGAUGCUCAACAAUCCCUCAUCCUUUUCUUAUCUCAUGGUGACCUUGUGUAACAUUCUCCACAGUUGUUGUUCCAAACCUCCCCAGGUUCCUGCCAGCCCACUAGGAGCUGACAUUGCUGCUUAUUUAGAUGGAAGCUAUCCAGAGUAAGCUCCAUUAUCUUCUCACUUAAUUCACAAUCUCCCUAUAUGUUCACUUAUUUUUAUUAUUCUUCCCAAUUAUCUCAAAGCAAGAGCAGUUCUGCUUUUACUCUAAGACCAAUUUCUCCACCUGACCCUGGAAUAUCUUCAUUUGUGCCUCUUCUAGAAACUUAUGCUAUCAGUUAUCCUUUUUUCUAGGCAUUUUCAGUCUCUGGCCACUAGCUGUUCUUUUCCAUUAAACAGAAAUGUAGAAAACAUCUAUCAGAAGAAAUAGAUUUGUCCCUACACUUUUAAGCCUACCUGCCUCAUCCAGGCCCUGGAAGGUAGAGCUAAACACUUCUAAAGUGAUAGUGAGGGCAACCCCAUAAUUCUAAUAUUUACCCCUAUUCCACUCUACCUCUGCCUGGCUUUUAACGACUCCCAUUUUAAGUCCUUGUGGACUGAAUGAUUGUUAUUUCCUCAGUGACUAUCUUUAAGAAACCUCUCUGACUUUUCUUACUCUUUCUUUCUGUACUUGCAAAGCAACUCCAGGCACCAGUUUCUUUGGAGGCCUUCCUUUGGCAAAAACUGUUCUCACACAAAGCUGAUAAAAGAGAAGGCUCCUGCAGCAUGGCCUGUGGUGUUCUGACUGAUGUGAUACUGCUAUUAUUACCAGCUAAUAUUUAUUGAAUAUGAGCAUUCAGGUACCAUCCCAAGCCCUUUAUAGGUAUUACCUCAUUAAAUCUUCACAACAACCCUUUAAGGCUGGACCAUUAUUGUCUCAGUUCUACCUAAGCAGAACUGACUCGCAAUUAAUAAUAUCCUUACUCAAGGUCCCACACAGCUGGUUAAUAAGAGAAGGGAGUCUAAAGAAUCAGCCUUUUCAUGAAAGUAUGCUACUCAGGCAAACUUUUCUAAUGACUUUUGUGCACAGUUUAAAGAAAAGCUCUUAACUGCUUCAAACAUUGUUUAACAUUAUUCUUCCCAAACUGUAGAACACCUCUUGGGAGCCUCAUGUUGAAAGAAGAAAAUGCCUAAAAAUCAAGUCAAGAUCUAACUGGUUUUCCUCUUCUACUAAUCAAAUUUCAUAAUCGAGAGUCUUCAGUGAUUCCAACAUAUCUAAGCAUACCACCCACAAGUGAAGUCAUAAGCACCAUGAUAUUAACAAGGUGUAAGAAUUUUAAGUGUCAAAACCAACAACUUGAGGAUAAUCACUAAAUUUUAAAUUUGACAAAUUUCAUCCAUAAAUUAGAUUCAUUUAAAUGGCUAUACAAAUCACUGAUAUCUUUUUCAAGAUUUUUUAUUUAAUGUGCAAAUUAGUCCCUGAUAUAAUUGGACAUAUAGCUACUGAUUGAAAGAGCAAAGCGAAUCUGGUGAGUAGCUAAAAGAAUGAGCCCAAGAGACUAUACAAAGAUUUUCUUUACUGUAUUAAGUUCAUAAAGGGUAAUUCAUAACCAAUGGAAGGCCCAUUUAGUAGUUUCCCAAAGAAAGAUGAGUUAAGAAUUUUCAGACUCAGUCAAAUCAAUUCUUUAUAUUCAUAUGGAACUUCACAAUGUGUAAAGCAUUUUCCUUCCAUUCUUACAAUUGAGGCUCUCAAUUCCACUGGGUAGACAAGCUUUCCAGGAAAUUUUGUUUCUAUUUUAAAAAUUUAUUUCCUCUUCUGCCUUGGCUUUCAGGAAGCCUAGAGAUAAACUGAAUGGUUAAGUAUAAAACUAAGUGCAACUUUGUAUCUCUUGCCUCUAUACUAUUCUGACCUUUCUUUCUCUGAUUCUUUAAAAAAAAAUUAGUUGCUUUAAACAUUUGAUUUUAACUUUCCACAAGUUCUUUACAAAGCUUUUGGGGCAUAAAUUUCAAAUAAAUAAAGAUUGAUAAAUCCUUAUCCUAACAAAAUGGUAGGCCCAAGGACUGAUCACAAAGGGCAAAAAACCAAUCUAAUCCCAAAUUGCAUCCAUCAAAAGAAUCUUGAUAUUUCACACCACCAUAGAAAAAAACUCAGAGGAACAUAAUAUGAUGAACAAAACAGAUGUGCACUUAAGGCCUAUUAAGAUAAAUGAAUAUUUCACAUAUUGUUCUCCUAUGAACAUUUAAAUAGAUCUACAUUAUCUGAUUAAAUGGAUGCACAGUAUUUAAUUUUAGGUGAUUAUUUAAAUUUUAUGGAUGAUUAUUUAAAUUUGAAAAUUUUUCCACAUUAACAGACAUUUACAAGAAAGGUGGAACAGAUUGUUAUAAUAUUGUUUGAACUUUCAAAAAUCUGAACUUCCUGCUCAUAUCUUUACUCAUUUCCCUAUUUGGCUAUUUCCAGGUUUGUUUGUUUUUUUUUUUCUUUAUUCAUCUCUGAAGGUGUAAAUAUUAUGGAUCAUUUUAUCUUUCUCUCGUGUGAAAAAUAUGUUUCACAGUCUAUCAGAAACCUGAAGAAAAUAAGUGAAAGGAGCCUUCCAUCUGGGAGAAGAGCAGUUAGAGUACUGGAAAGAGCAAGUGACAGACCACAACAAGGAGCCCAGUAUAAUUAAUAAGUGAUACAAGAGAACUAUGCUGGGAUAUGAGGUCAGACAGGUAAUUUGUGGAAAGAUCACAUAGGGCCAAGGAGGUUCUCAUAAGCAGUUUGGAUUUUACUCAGAAUAAGAUGGGAAACCUUUGGAAGAUCGUGAGGAAAUAAAAGAUAUAAUCAUGUUUUAAAAUAACUGUUCUUAUUUAUGGAUGGAGUAUAGACUUGUAGGAAGAGGACAGGGCAAGGGCAAAAUAAGGAGGAAUAGUUAGAAAGAAAGAUGAUUUCACUGCGGACGAGAAUUGUGCUAGUGAGUGUUUUUCAAGUUUUGGAUACAUUUUGAAGAUAAACCAAGCAUGAUUUGCUUACAGAUUAGACAAGGAAUAUGAGAGAAAAAAGAAUUACACAUGUGGGGGGACCACUUGGACACUCAGAGUUAGUAUGAAGAUUAUUUUAAUUGCAGACAUUGGAGAUACAGAUAUAGAAAGAAGACUUUUCAGAGUUUAUCUGGAACUUUCCAGAGUUUAUCUGACUAAAGCAGAAACUUCUGGGAGUGAGACUGCAUCACUUUUGGAGUAGCAUGACUCCCAGGAAAGAGACAGAGGAUAAAAAUUGACAUAAAUCCAUCCUUUAUAAUUUUUCUUGCUAAGGAAAAAACAAAGACCACCACUCACACCUGCGUAAACAAAUAUUACUGCAAACCACCUUAUCUGCCAUUUGUUUCUCUAAAAGCCCACUUGUUUUUCCAAGAAGUCAUUUGAUCUUCCCAAAGAAGUCUUUUCUCCCUGUUUCAUUUUCCCUAUUAAGUCAGGUAUAUAAACCCCUAACUCUAAUUACCGAGCUAGCUAUUUCAAUUGUGUGCUGCCAUAUGCAUAUGAAUAAACUUGGUCUUUUAUCCUGUUAACCUGCCAAUUUCAGUCAAUUUCUAGGCCUUCAAUCACAGAACCUGUCUAUAGUGGAAAAAUUUCUCAUUUUAACAGAUGAUUCCAAGGUUUUUGGUCCAAACAAAUGGGAGGAUAGAACUGCCACUGACAGAGACGGGGAAAACUUAAGGUCAAAUAGGUUGCACAUGGGAAAUCAAAAUUUCAGGUAGAUUUAAAAUGUCUAUUAGAAAUUCAAGUAAAUUUCCUACUUGAAAAUUAGGACCCUACUCAGUCACCCGCAGUUGACCCCGGCCUGGGCCAUGCCACUUCAUGACCGUCUGCAACUGGCCCCCACCACCUUGCAGGUACCUGUAAGCAGUCUGUGCAGAAAAGCAUGUGCACACACCAGCCACCACUACCACAUGCACUGAUUCCAAGUUGCUGGACCUUGGGGCACUGCUAAGGACCCCAAUAGCCCUUGUAGCCACUGUAGAUUCUCCAUAGCUCUCACCAAGGAUCAAAACUUGUUGAUGUAGGACCCCAAGUGCCUGAGCCAAUGAGACACAACACACCCCUGGCCCAGGGCCUCCCUAUGUCCCUGAAUGUGGCACAUCACAUCACUAGACUUGAGAUCACAGCAGGCUCAAGCCUGCUUCCACUUGCAGAUGUUCCUUCCUUACCAAAGUCAGUCAAAAUGGUCUGGAAGAGGAGUUCCCGUCGUGGCGCAGUGGUUAACGAAUCCGACUAGGAACCAUGAGGUUGCGGGUUCGGUCCCUGCCCUUGCUCAGUGGGUUAACGAUCCAGCGUUGCCGUGAGCUGCUUGCGGUGUAGGUUGCAGACGCGGCUCGGAUCCAGCGUUGCUGUGGCUCUGGCAUAGGCCGGUGGCUACAGCUCUGAUUCGACCCCUAGCCUGGGAACCUCCACAUGCCGCAG